rnacentral:rRNA from 1 species
AAGUAUAUGCAUACUUGAUAUGUAGAAACUGCGAACGGCUCCUUAAAACAGUUAUAAUCUACUUGACAUUUUUAUUUAAAGGGAUAACUACGGAAAAUCUGUAGCUAAUACAUGAACGGAUGUCGAAUUUUUAAUUUGACAGUGUACUUGUUAGUUCUCUUUAAAAAAAGGUUCACAAGGAAUUAUAACAAAGAAGCGACACGCGUCAGUACCUUAGCUGUAUAGACUAGGUGCGUAUCAAUCGAGUUUCUGACCUAUCAGCUUUUGAUGUUAGGGUAUUGGCCUAACAUGGCUGUGACGGGUAACGGGGAAUUGGAGUUCGAUUCCGGAGAGGGAGCCUGAGAAACAGCUACCACAUCUAAGGAAGGCAGCAGGCGCGUAAAUUACCCAAUUCUAAAAAAGAGAGGUAGUGACAAGAAAUACUGAUGUAAGAUCAGUUACUUGAUUUUAUAAUUGGAUUAGAGGGAAUUUAAAAAAUUUCCUGAGCGUAAUUGGAGGGCAAGUCUGGUGCCAGCAGCCGCGGUAAUUCCAGCUCCAAUAGCGUAUAUUAAAACUGUUGCAGUUAAAACGCUCGUAGUUUAUUUUUAAUUAAGAUAAUUCUAAUGGUGUAAAAAAAUAAUGGCGGUAAACUUUACGCAUUCAAUUUAGGAUUCGUAUUGGAUGAGUUGGUUUUAUACCGAUUCUCCAUGGUGUCCUAGCGUUUGUGUAUAUUUAUGCAUUAUUUUCCAUUGUAUCUUAAUUCUUCAAGGAAUAGUAAAGUGGGGUGCUAGUCACAGCCAUGAGUUAUUAUUCCUUAUUGUUACUUUGAGUAAAUUAGAGUGUUCCAAGCAGACAAUUGCUAAUAAGGGUUGCCUUGUUUGAAUACUAUAGCAUGGAAUAACAGAAUUGAACGGGUUUAUUUUUUUUUUAUAGACCUAUUUUUUUAAAAUAAGCCAUAGGAUACGAUUAAUAGGAAUGGUUUGGGGGCAUUUGUAUUCAGAUGCUAGAGGUGAAAUUCUUAGAUUUUCUGGAGACAAACAACUGCGAAAGCAUUUGCCCAGAACAUUUCCAUUAAUCAAGAACGAAAGUUAAGGGAGUGAAGACGAUCAGAUACCGUCGUAAUCUUAACCAUAAACUAUGCCGACUAGGUGUUGGAUGUAUAUCAAAAUAUAUAUAAAGAAGUAAAUAAUGACCUCAGUCUUAUUUCUUCUUUAUUAUAGAAACAUGCUACCUUCAGUACCUUAUGAGAAAUCAAAGUCUUUGGGUUCUGGGGCGAGUAUGAGCGCAAGCUUGAAAGUUAAAAGAAUAGACGGAAGCGCACCACAAAGCGUGGAGCUUGCGGCUUAAUUUGACUCAACACGGGAAACCUCACUAGUGUAAGACAGGAGUAGGAUUGACAGAUUGACUGGUUCUUUCUUGAUUUCCUGGAUGGUGAUGCAUGGCCGUUUCUAGUUCGUGGACUGAUUUGUCUGGUCAAUUCCGAUAACGAGCAAGAUCUCAGCCUGCUAAUUAGCGACGGUUGCAAUAUAAUCUAUAUAAUUUGUAUGAGAAAAACCGAAUAAUGCCUACAAUAAUGUGACAUACUUUUAUGUUGCAUUGGAGUUACCUGUUAUCGAUCUUUUUCUCGUAAGAAUUAAAUAGAUGCAAUCGUUUUAACCAAUGCUUCUUAGAGGGACAUUGUGUGUUUAACAUAAGGAAGUGUGGGGCAACAACAGGUCUGUGAUGUCCUUAGAUAUACUAGGCUGCACGCGUGCUACAAUGAUACAUAAAACGAGAUUAUAACAUAAAAACAAAAAAUUGAAAAGAGGUGUAUAGACAUACGGUUGGAUGUAUAUAUGCAUGAAGUCAGGAAAUUUAUUGUUUCUUGCUUUAUGUUUAUAUAUGUCUUACUGCAUGUUUAUGCAAUAUUCUUUUUUUCUUUUUUUUGUUUUUAUUUUUCCUACACUGAAAAGUGAAGGAGAUCUUAUUCAAUAUGUAUCGUAACGGGGAUAGAGGAUUGCAAUUAUUUCUCUUGAACGAGGAAUGCUUAGUAAGCGUAAUUCAUCAGAUUGCGUUGACUACGUCCCUGCGCUUUGCACUCACCGCCCGUCGUUUCUUUUAAUUGAAAGAUUGGAUGAGUUGUUCGGACAAUAUUUUGUUGAAAUUAUAUUUUAACAAGAUGUUGGAAGAGUCGCGAAUCCUGUCUUUUAAAGAAAG